AGAGUUUGAUCCUGGCUCAGAACGAACGCUGGCGGCAGGCUUAACACAUGCAAGUCGAGCGCCCCGCAAGGGGAGCGGCAGACGGGUGAGUAACACGUGGGAAUCUACCCAUCCCUACGGAACAACUCCGGGAAACUGGAGCUAAUACCGUAUACGCCCUUCGGGGGAAAGAUUUAUCGGGGAUGGAUGAGCCCGCGUUGGAUUAGCUAGUUGGUGGGGUAAAGGCCUACCAAGGCGACGAUCCAUAGCUGGUCUGAGAGGAUGAUCAGCCACAUUGGGACUAAGGCACGGCCCAAACUCCUACGGGAGGCAGCAGUGGGGAAUAUUGGACAAUGGGCGAAAGCCUGAUCCAGCCAUGCCGCGUGAGUGAUGAAGGCCUUAGGGUUGUAAACUCCUUUUGGGGGGGAAGACAUCGACGGUACCCUCCGAAUCAGGCUCGGCUAACUCUGUGCCAGCCGCCGCGGUAAUUC
rnacentral:rRNA from 1 species